ACUGUAGUAGUCUAUUAGAUAUCUGGUUUCGACCCAGAAGAACUUACAUAUUUAAGCUACAGGA
rnacentral:tRNA from 1 species